AGUGUAUACAGGUGAGACUACAGCCAUACAACCAGUGUAUACAGGUGAGACUACAGCCAUACAACCAGUGUAUAGAGGUGAGACUACAGCCAUACAACCAGUGUAUAGAGGUGAGACUACAGCCAUACAACCAGUGUAUAGAGGUGAGACUACAGCCAUACAACCAGUGUAUAGAGGUGAGACUACAGCCAUACAACCAGUGUAUAGAGGUGAGACUACAGCCAUACAACCAGUGUAUACAGGUGAGACUACAGCCAUACAACCAGUGUAUACAGGUGAGACUACAGCCAUACAACCAGUGUAUACAGGUGAGACUACAGCCAUACAACCAGUGUAUAGAGGUGAGACUACAGCCAUAUACAACCAGUGUAUACAGGUGAGACUACAGCCAUACAACCAGUGAUAGAAAGGUAACCAUGUGUAUAAGUGACAGUGUGCAGAGUGGAAUGAGUGUAAACAUGAAUGGAUGCAAAGCAGAAAAUGUAUUAGGUUAAGGCUAAAUUUUCAAUCAUAGUAUCACAGGUCUAACACAUAUUUCAGGGCAAAUCUCAAAUGCCACAUUGUCCCUUUUAGAAAAAGAUGAUCUCAAAUCCAAAUCUGUUUGAGUGUUGUUGUUCCGCUAUUCUU